AUCGCCUCUUGAUCUAAUAUAAGAGGUCCAGCCUGCCCAGUGACAUAUAGUUCAACGGCCGCGGUAUCCUAACCGUGCGAAGGUAGCGUAAUCACUUGUUCUUUAAUUGAGGACUAGUAUGAACGGCUUCACGAAGACUACACUGUCUCCUUUUUCUAAUCAAUGAAACUAAUCUCCCCGUGAAGAAGCGGGGAUAAACCUAUAAGACGAGAAGACCCUAUGGAGCUUUAAACGAUCGAAAUAUUUGCUACCUCACUUUUCACCUCCUGAGAACUAAAUAUAUUUUCAGCAUCUUAAUUUCUAGUUUUAGGUUGGGGUGACCACGGAGAACAAACUAACCUCCACGCUGAACGAGCCUUUCUCUUAGCAAAAAGUCACAACUUUAUGCAUCAAUACAUUGACUUCCAUUGACCCA
rnacentral:rRNA from 1 species